rnacentral:misc_RNA from 1 species
GAAAUGCGAUAAGUAAUGUGAAUUGCAGAAUUCAGUGAAUCAUCGAAUCUUUGAACGCACCUUGCGCUCCUUGGUAUUCCUUGGAGCAUGCCUGUUUGAGUAUCAUGAAAUCUUCAAAGUAAAUCUUUUGUUAACUCAAUUGGUUUCUACUUUGGUUUUGGAGGUCUUUGCAGCUUCACACCUGCUCCUCUUUGUUCAUUAGCUGGAUCUCAGUGUUAUGCUUGGUUCCACUCGGCGUGAUAAGUUAUCUAUCGCUGAGGACACUGUAAAAGGUGGCCAAGGUAAAUGCAGAUGAACCGCUUCUAAUAGUCCAUUGACUUGGACAAUACUUUUAUGAUCUGAUCUCAAAUCAGGUAGGACUACCCGCUGAACUUAAGC